rnacentral:tRNA from 1 species
UAAGGUUUCCUGUAGUUGAAUAACAAUGGUUUUUCAAGCCAUAAGUCCUGGUUGAAGUCCGGGCAGGAAUG